rnacentral:rRNA from 1 species
ACAGCAGUAGCCACGGGAAUACGAAGGGGGCUAGCGUUGUUCGGAUUUACUGGGCGUAAAGCGCACGUAGGCGGACUUUUAAGUCAGGGGUGAAAUCCCGGGGCUCAACCCCGGAACUGCCUUUGAUACUGGAAGUCUUGAGUAUGGUAGAGGUGAGUGGAAUUCCGAGUGUAGAGGUGAAAUUCGUAGAUAUUCGGAGGAACACCAGUGGCGAAGGCGGCUCACUGGACCAUUACUGACGCUGAGGUGCGAAAGCGUGGGGAGCAAACAGGAUUAGAUACCCGUGUAGUCCCUGUCUCUUAUAA